GAGGGUAUAGCUCAGUGGUAAAACUUGUGCUUAGCAUGCACGAGGUCCUGAGUUCAAUCCCCAGUACCUCCA
rnacentral:tRNA from 1 species